UGGGGAAUCUUGCACAAUGGGGGAAACCCUGAUGCAGCGACGCCGCGUGAACGAUGAAGCCCUUCGGGGUGUAAAGUUCUUUCGACAGGAACGAUAAUGACGGUACCUGGAGAAGAAGCUGUGGCUAACUACGUGCCAGCAGCCGCGGUAAUGCGUAGGCAGCGAGCGUUGUUCGGAGUUACUGGGCGUAAAGAGUGCGUAGGCGGCGAGCCAAGUUUGGUGUGAAAUCUCCCGGCUUAACCGGGAGGGUGCGCCGAAAACUGGUUGGCUGGAGUAUGGGAGAGGAAAGCGGAAGUCCUGGUGUAGCGGUGAAAUGCGUAGAUAUCAGGAGGAACACCUGCGGUGUAGACAGCUUUCUGGACCAAAACUGACGCUGAGGCACGAAAGCGUGGGUAGCAA
rnacentral:rRNA from 1 species